UAGGUCAGCUCGUCUGAAGGUCUGCUCUGUUAGGCUUUGAUGGCUGUGGUUAGCUGUGGCCUGGUAGCCACGGUGGCCCGGGGUCAGCCCUGCGGCUCAGCUCCAGUCUGGCCCACAGGUGGUGCUGCCCACGCUGGCUUCACUUCGCAUCGCAGCCUUUGAGGAGGGGGGUAAAUUCGUAGGGCACCGGAUCCUGCCUGUCUCUGCCAUCCGCUCUGGGUACCACUACGUCUGCCUGCGGAACGAGGCCAACCAACCGCUGUGCCUGCCGGCCCUGCUUAUCUACACCGAAGCCUCGGACUACAUUCCUGACGACCACCAGGACUACGCGGAGGCCCUGAUCAACCCCAUUAAGCACGUCAGCCUGAUGGACCAGAGGGCCCGGCAGCUGGCCGCCCUCAUUGGGGAGAGUGAGGCUCAGGCUGGCCAAGAGAUGUGCCAGGACACCCAGUCUCAGCAGCUGGGGUCUCA
rnacentral:sRNA from 1 species